GGGGUUCAGCAUCGAGUACCGGAGCCCCGCGACGAAACGCUCGAAAGUCAGACAGCCGUGAGGAGGACUCACCCGCCUCAAGCACUCCAGCACACCACCAGAAUUCGAUUGGGAACCCAUCAGGACCUGGAGAUUUACUGCUCUGCGUCAUAGAAAUUGCAUGUCUGACUUCUUUUAUCUGAAAAGGGUGUAUCCUGCCUUCUGCCCAAUGACCACUGAGAUAGGCUCCAGCACCACCUCCCAACCCCGCCCCAGCGACUCAGAAGGAUAAGCGGUUUAGAAAAUGAUGCUGAGUUGGGAUGCAAGUGAAGACACACUACAUGUCCAGAAGUAUCAUACCAACCGAUUAUGAAGCUUCCUGUUCCUUUCAUAAAUGCUCGAGACUGGC